rnacentral:rRNA from 1 species
AGAGUUUGAUCAUGGCUCAGGAUCAACGCUGGCGGCGUGCCUAAUGCAUGCAAGUCGCACGGAUAGCCUUCGGGCUGUCAGUGGCGAACGGCUGAGGAACACGUACGAACCUACCCGCUCGUGGGGAAUAACGCGCCGAAAGGCGUGCUAAUACCGCGUACGCUUGGGCAACCAAGGAAAGCCUUCGGGCGCGGGCGGACGGGCGUGCGGCCCAUCAGGUGGUUGGCGGGGUAACGGCCCACCAAGCCGGUGACGGGUAGCUGGUCUGUGAGGACGAUCAGCCAGACUGGGACUGCGAGACGGCCCAGACACCUACGGGUGGCAGCAGCGAGGAAUCUUCCGCAAUGGGCGCAAGCCUUACGGAGCAACGCCGCGUGGAGGACGACGGCCUUCGGGUUGUAAACUCCUUUCGGGGGGGACGACAAGGACGGUACCCCCAGAAGCAGCCCCGGCUCACUCUGUGCCAGCAGCCGCGGUAAGACAGAGGGGGCAAGCGUUGUCCGGAUUUACUGGGCGUACAGCGCGCGCAGGCGGCCCGCGAGGUGCUCUGUGACAGUCGGGGGCUCAACCCCCGCCGGCCAGGGUAGACCAGCAGGCUGGAGGCAGGGAGAGGGUGGUGGAAGGCCCGGUGGAGCGGUGAAAUGCGUAGAGAUCGGGCGGAACACCCGCGGCGAAGGCGGCCACCUGGCCCUGACCUGACGCUGAGGCGCGAGAGCGUGGGGAGCGAACCGGAUUAGAUACCCCUGUAGUCC